rnacentral:rRNA from 1 species
GGCAGCCCGAGUGGUGAUCACUAUUAUUGGGUCUAAAGGGUCCGUAGCCGGUUUAAUCAGUCUUCUGGGAAAUCUAAUCGCUUAACUAUUAGGCUUCCAGGGGAUACUGUUAGACUUGGGACCGGGAGAGGUAAGAGGUACUGCAGGGGUAGGAGUGAAAUCUUGUAAUCCCUGUGAGACCACCAGUGGCGAAGGCGUCUUACCAGAACGGGUCCGACGGUGAGGGACGAAAGCUGGGGGCACGAACCGGAUUAGAUACCCGGGUAGUCCCAGCUGUAAACGAUGCUCGUUAGGUGUCAGGAACGGUGCGACUGUUUCUGGUGCCGAAGGGAAGCCGUGAAACGAGCCACCUGGGAAGUACGGCCGCAAGGCUGAAACUUAAAGGAAUUGGCGGGGGAGCACUACAACGGGUGGAGCCUGCGGUUUAAUUGGACUCAACGCCGGAAAACUCACCGGGGGCGACAGCAAUAUGUAGGUCAGGUUAAAGGUCUUACCUGAAUCGCUGAGAGGAGGUGCAUGGCCGUCGUCAGUUCGUACUGUGAAGCAUCCUGUUAAGUCAGGCAACGAGCAAGACCCGUGCCCACUGUUACCAGCAUAUCCUUUAUGGAUGAUGGGGACUCUGUGGGGACCGCUGCUGCUAAAGCAGAGGAAGGUGCGGGCUACGGUAGGUCAGUAUGCCCCGAAUCUCCCGGGCUACACGCGGGCUACAAUGGUUGGGACAAUGGGUAUCUACUCCGAAAGGAGUUGGCAAUCUCUUAAACCCAAUCGUAGUUCGAAUUGAGGGCUGUAACUCGCCCUCAUGAAGCUGGAAUCCGUAGUAAUCGCGUUUCAACAUAGCGCGGUG